rnacentral:misc_RNA from 1 species
GGUGAUGCGUGAGUGGUAUUUGGCUUGUACGGGCGUGUUGGAUCCCUGCUCCGAGCAGCGACAGCACCUCCGUCUCGCCUCUUCAUUCAUCGGCACGAGCUCGUGCUCGUCCGCGGUCGGUUAUCCUGUGCUGCAUACCUAUCGAGAGGGCAUUUUGUCGGCUGAAACGGUCCCAUCUCCGUCCUGUAUCGCCGCUCCGUGCGGGCGGUCGAUGCGGGGUGGAUCUCAAGGCUCGCGUCGUGUCUCGCACCGCAUCCAUCGAUUUUCGGUGUUUGGGCAGGCGAACCACGUCGCGUCGCCCGUCGCCUUGGGUACGGAACAUCACGUGGGUACGCGGCCUUGGCCGCCGAUCGCCACAAUGAUGCGUUCUACGCUUUUUGCGAACGACGGUUGGCUCGGUCUCCGCCCGUGCACUCGUGCAUCGGUCGGAUCCGCGCCGCCAUCGGUGAGGGAUGCUACCUGGUUGAUCCUGCCAGUA